UCUGAGAACAGUGUACCGGCUGUGCUUGUUCAGUGGAUCAAGGAGGUGGGAGGGAAGGAACUGCAAAAAGAUUCCAUUUGUGUGCUAGACAUUUCUAGCUUACCCAUCCCCCUGUGUGUUGUGUGCAUCUCAUGUAACUUUGCUAUGCUGUAUAUAUUGUACAUACUGGACAAACGAGUCCUAUGAUAUCUAGUCUCUAGGUAUUAAAGAGGUUGCCAAUGUAUGACAAAAGUAGUUAGUAAACUCACACAUUCUGUAUACUCUGUUAGUUCAUAGCAAGGUUGUCUUCUGAAGAGUUGUGAAAGUGUAUCAUCCAAGUGACGGGUGCCUAUGUCACGGGACACAAGAUGGGCUGAAGGGGAAGAAAGGUCGGAGACCAGAAUGUCCUCACCAGAAGACACUUGGAGAUCUAACUAGUUACAUGUGCGUGGUUUCAGUACUACUAUGUAUAUAGGGGACAAAUUCAUGUCCUCAUCUGAAACAUCUAGUCCUUCUAGGUGUUUAGAAGUGCACAAAGUAUGUUAAAAGUAGACAUAGUAAAUAAUACGUGUUGUAGAUUCUGUUUAAACUCAUGGUGAAGUGUUGUCUUUUGGAACUAGAAAGAGAAACUGCUUCUGAGCAAUGCAGCCUUGCUUGUGCAGGUCUAGGAGGGAGGAAGAAAGAAAAUGAAUGAAGAGCCUAAUGCUGAUGCAAGUUUGGUAAUACAAGGUUAUCCAUUGUUGCUUAUAUCUGUGCAUCUUACUUUGCAAUGUAUAGAAAACAUAGGUCCAAAUUUGCAGCACCCAGUCUUCCUAGACUGUAAAGGUGCCAGUGUGUGACAAAGUAGAGUUAGUGAAAAGACAUAUUUAUAGAUUAUGUUAAAAUUUGUAGGAAAAAACCUUAAAACCACUUAGGAAGUGUUAAUAUUCCACAAAAACAUGACAGAUGUAUACACAUGUCCCCUGGGGGGGAGAGAACUGGAAGAGGGGCUGGACCAGAACCUUGCUGUUUAGAAGGCAGUCUGAGAUGGCAUGGUGUAUUCUUGGUUAUCAAAAUCCCUGUGUAGUGUGGGGUUUUUAAUUGGUGAAUAUUCACAAUGUGGGGAAAGCAUGGUACAUACUGUAUAAUCUCAAUUACCCAAGUGUGCGUACGCUUGCAGGAUCUAGAACAACACAUCGAGCUGAGCUGCUUGUGACUGGGUGACUUUGUUCUUGCUUUCUUGUUUCCUGUAAUGCAUAUACUAAAAAAAAA